rnacentral:rRNA from 1 species
AGGACGAACGCUGGCGGCGUGCUUAACACAUGCAAGUCGAACGGUGAAGGGACCUUCGGGGGUACACGAGUGGCGAACGGGUGAGUAACACGUGGGUGACCUGCCCCUUACUCUGGGAUAAGCCUGGGAAACUGGGUCUAAUACCGGAUAGGACUUCAUGCUGCAUGGUGUGGGGUUGAAAGUUUUUCGGUGGGGGAUGGGCCCGCGGCCUAUCAGCUUGUUGGUGGGGUGAUGGCCUACCAAGGCUUCGACGGGUA